AGCGAACGCUGGCGGCAGGCUUAACACAUGCAAGUCGAGCGGGCCCUUCGGGGUCAGCGGCAGACGGGUGAGUAACACGUGGGAACGUACCCUUUGGUUCGGAAUAACGCUGGGAAACUAGCGCUAAUACCGGAUACGCCCUUUUGGGGAAAGGCUUGCUGCCGAAGGAUCGGCCCGCGUCUGAUUAGCUAGUUGGUGGGGUAAUGGCCUAGCAAGGCGACGAUCAGUAGCUGGGCAGAGAGGAUGAUCAGCCACACAGGGACUGAGACACGGCCCAGACUCCUGCGGGAGGGAGGAAAGGGGAAUAUAGGACAAUGGGCGCAAGCCUGAUCCAGCCAUGCCGCGUGAGUGAUGAAGGCCUUAGGGUUGUAAAGCUCUUUUGUCCGGGACGAUAAUGACGGUACCGGAAGAAUAAGCCCCGGCUAACUUCGUG
rnacentral:rRNA from 1 species